UUCGGGUAUUAUGCACUGGCCUA
rnacentral:siRNA from 1 species